AAAAGAUACCUGUGAGCUGUGGACAUCUGAAUGUUCACACAGCACUGACCUUUUUAAACAUGAAAAUGAAAACGAAUAGUCAGACUCCUGCAUUUUUCCAUGUCUUAUUUCAGUUUUAAAGAUGGACAAUAUGAUAAGAAAGUCUGUUUCUCUUCUGGAUUUCUAUUUCCAAAGAGAUAGCAAAGGUUCUCAGGUUACUUGGAGAGUUUACUAGGAUGCUGAGCGCUCCUCACCCACAUAGUUUAUUAUUCGGGAGGUCUGAGGUGGGACCCCAAAAGACAAAUUCUCAGGUGAGGUUGAUGCUGCUGGUCUGGCGACCACGCUUGGAGACUCCGUGAGCCAGAGGACUCUGCCCCGACUUGCUAGGGAGGCAGGAGCUCUGGUGACCUGCUGUGUGGCCUGGAGGAAGUCACUGCCCAUUCUGAGCCUCGGAUUCCUUGUUGGUAAACAGCGUCUUAGGACGCGGCUCUGUGAUGCUGUGGCCUGUGCGUCGCAUCGGCAUGUCUCAGCCGGCACCGGGCAGCAGAGGGCAGCAGAGAUCAGGAAAUGGCGUCCCGGCAGGCGGCUUCUCCCACUGCUGAAAUGAGUUCUCUCAACUGUCGCUCAGCACUCCGAAACCAUUAGCCAAAGAAGAAAGACAUUUCCUCAUCCCUUUGCUCUCCAAUGACUAAGAAAAGUGAAGUGAUGCCUUACACUGAAAUGUAUUUCUUAAAAGUUGGAUACUUGUAUCAUCUUGAAAGCCCCUCUACAUCCAGGAAAACUGCAGCCCAGAGAGGGGAGGAAAAGCCCGCGGCCUCCUGCUGGUGGCAGGAAAGACCCUUCUUGCGCUUAGGAACACCAGACGGCACUUCAGCACUGUGCCUAGGGGCCAUUUUAAACAGCGAAAUCAUCAAGAAAAAAGCACAAAAAUGAGAAAAAUGUUGCACUAAACAGAGCAUGAAAGGACAUUUGCUCAUAGUGUGAGAGCUGAACAUGCACAUACGUGUUCAUCACUCUGCGCUUGUCUGUGAAUGACCGUGAACAUGCUGCAAGUCUUGAUUUGGGGGUUACAAGUUAAUUUUAUCAAGUAGAAGAAUUUGCCAACAUGGAAUUUAUGAACAAUGAGGAUCAAUUAUAUAUAUUUUUGGUGUCAGAGAAGAGCUCACGAUGGAACCCCGUACACUUGUUUGGGAGGGGAGUUCGGUUGUGUGCACCUAAAAUCUUUGAUGCUGGGAGUCCAACUUUGGAAACUUAUCUGGAGAAAAUUAUCAGGCAAAUGAGUGAAUGAUUGUGUACAAGGAUGUUCAUUUAUAAUUUAAUGAAACACUAUGCAAUCAUGAAAAUGCAUUGAUGAAUAUUUAUUAACAUGAAAA
rnacentral:lncRNA from 10 species